rnacentral:rRNA from 1 species
CACGUAGGGGCCAAGCGUUGUCCGGAUUUAUUGGGCGUAAAGAGCUCGUAGGCGGCUCGGUAAGUCAGGUGUGAAACCUCCAGGCUCAACCUGGAGACGCCACCCGAUACUGCUGUGGCUAGAGUCCGGUAGGGGAGCGUGGAAUUCCUGGUGUAGCGGUGAAAUGCGCAGAUAUCAGGAGGAACACCAGCGGCGAAGGCGGCGCUCUGGGCCGGAACUGACGCUGAGGAGCGAAAGCGUGGGUAGCAAACAGG